GACGAACGCUGGCGGCGUGCCUAAUACAUGCAAGUAGAACGCACAGUUUAUACCGUAGCUUGCUACACCAUAAACUGUGAGUUGCGAACGGGUGAGUAACGCGUAGGUAACCUGCCUGGUAGCGGGGGAUAACUAUUGGAAACGAUAGCUAAUACCGCAUAAUAUUAAUUAUUGCAUGAUAAUUGAUUGAAAGAUGCAAUUGCAUCACUACCAGAUGGACCUGCGUUGUAUUAGCUAGUAGGUGAGGUAACGGCUCACCUAGGCGACGAUACAUAGCCGACCUGAGAGGGUGAUCGGCCACACUGGGACUGAGACACGGCCCAGACUCCUACGGGAGGCAGCAGUAGGGCAUCUUCGGCAAUGGACGAAAGUCUGACCGAGCAACGCCGCGUGAGUGAAGAAGGUUUUCGGAUCGUAAAGCUCUGUUGUAAGAGAAGAACGGGUGUGAGAGUGGAAAGUUCACACUGUGACGGUAUCUUACCAGAAAGGGACGGCUAACUACGUG
rnacentral:rRNA from 1 species